rnacentral:rRNA from 1 species
AGGGCGUACGGCGAAUGCCUGGCCACUCGAAACUGAAGAAGGACGCGCCAAACUGCGAAAAGCUCCGUGAAGCUGUAAGGAAGCGAAGAAGCGGAGGUGUCCGAAUGGGGGAACCCGGCAGCAGACAUGAGCUGUCAUCUGCAGGUGAAUACAUGGCCUGCAAGAGAGGUACCCGGCGAACUGAAACAUCUAAGUAGCCGGAGGAAAAGAAAACAACAGUGAUUCCCUGAGUAGCGGCGAGCGAAAGGGGAGAAGCCCAAACCGGUUGAAGGACCGGGGUUGAAGGACCAUGACAUGGCAAGAACGAGGAUAGGAGAACGGGAUCGAAAGCCCGGCCGAAGAAGGUGAAAGCCCUGUAACCGAAAUCCGAGUAAAGCCUAAUGGGAUCCUGAGUACGGCGAGACACGAGGAAUCUUGUCGGAAGCAGGCGGGACCAUCCGCCAAGGCUAAAUAUAAACGAGUGAGCGAUAGUGAACCAGUACCGUGAGGGAAAGGUGAAAAGAACCGCGGGAGCGGAGUGAAAGAGAACCUGAAACCGUAUGCCUACAAGAAGUCAGAGCCCGUUAAGGGGUGAUGGCGUGCCUUUUGUAGAAUGAACCGGCGAGUUGCGACAGACUGCGAGGUUAAGGAGGAAAGACCGGAGCCGAAGCGAAAGCGAGUCUUAAGAGGGCGAAAGUAGGAUGUUGCAGACCCGAAACCGGGUGAUCUAGCCAUGAGCAGGUUGAAGUUGAGGUGAAACUCAAUGGAGGACCGAACCGACUACCGUUGAAAAGUUAGCGGAUGACUUGUGGCUAGGGGAGAAAUUCCAAUCGAACCCGGAGAUAGCUGGUUCUCCCCGAAAUAGCUUUAGGGCUAGCGUCGGAAAGAACCUUAGUGAAGGUAGAGCACUGAAUGUGUGAUGGCCCCAUCCCGGGGUACUGAAUACAAUCAAACUGCGAAUGUCAUUAAGGAUGUCCGGCAGUCAGACUGUGAGUGAUAAGGUCCAUGGUCAAGAGGGAAACAGCCCAGACCGCCAGUUAAGGUCCCAAAAUACAGGCUAAGUGGAAAAGGAUGUGGGGAUGCCCAGACAACUAGGAGGUUGGCUCAGAAGCAGCCAUCCUUUAAAGAGUGCGUAACAGCUCACUAGUCGAGUGACCCUGCGCCGAAAAUGUACCGGGGCUAAGCCUGAUACCGAAACUGCGGAUUGUAGGAAACUAUAGUGGUAGGGGAGCGUUGUAUACGAGCAGAAGCCGUACCGUGAGGAGCGGUGGAUUGUAUAGAAGUGAGAAUGCCGGUGUGAGUAGCGAGAUGUAGGUGAGAAUCCUACACACCGAAAGCCCAAGGAUUCCAGGGGAAGGUUCGUCCGCCCUGGGUAAGUCGGGACCUAACGCGAGGCCGAAAGGCGUAGUGGAUGGAAAGCAGGCGAAAGAUUCCUGCACCCGUAUAUGGAGCGAAGGAGUGACGGAGACGGAUAGUGUGACCCUCUUAAUGGAUUGAGGGCGAAGCGAAGCGGCUGGUUACCAGGCAAAUCCGGUAACCAAAAGGCUAGAGCGUGACAGGUAAGCGAAAUCCAAGGAAAGUAGCGAAGCACAUGAUGACGGCUUCCAGGAAAAGCUUCUGGCAAUGCAUAUGCGGCCCGUACCAAAACCGACACAGGUGGGCAGGGAGAGAAUCCCGAGGUGAGCGAGAGAACUGUUGCCAAGGAACUCGGCAAAAUGACUCCGUAAGUUAGCGAGAAGGAGUGCUUAAGCAAUUAAGCCGCAGUGAAGAGGCCCAAGCGACUGUUUAACUAAAACACAGCUCUCUGCGAAGUCGCAAGACGAAGUAUAGGGGGUGACACCUGCCCGGUGCUGGAAGGUUAAGAGGAUCUGUUAAGAGCGAUCUGAAGCAGUGAUCCGAAGCCCCAGUGAACGGCGGCCGUAACUAUAACGGUCCUAAGGUAGCGAAAUUCCUUGUCAGGUAAGUUCUGACCCGCACGAAAGGUGUAACGAUUUGGGCGCUGUCUCGGCAGCAGACUCGGUGAAAUCUUAGUACCUGUGAAAAUGCAGGUUACCCGCAACUAGACGGAAAGACCCCAUGGAGCUUUACUGCAGCCUGAUAUUGAAUUCUGGUCAUACAUGUACAGGAUAGGUGGGAGACAAAGAGACGUGCACGCCAGUGUACGAGGAGUCGACGUUGGGAUACCACUCUUGUGUGACCGGGGUUCUAACCUGGUAUCGAGAACAGGUACGGGGAGAGUGUCAGGUGGGCAGUUUGACUGGGGCGGUCGCCUCCCAAAGAGUAACGGAGG